AUAGAAAAGAGGACAUGGAUUAGAGAAAAAAAAAGAAACAGAAAGAAAAGAAAGAAAAUUGAGAGAAAAGGGAGAAAGAAACAACAAUAAAAACGAAAAAGAAAGGGAAAAAGGUUAAGUUUGAGUGGAGUUAUAUUUCCAUUUCGAGUUUCCGCUGACAAUGUUUCUAUUUUUAUUCUCAAUUACUGUAUUAUUCAGGUUUUGCUCAAUUCCUUUGUAUUUGUUAUGUUUUAAUUUUAUCAAUGAAAUAGGAAAGAAGUUGUUUGGAUGAUUUCAUGUAUUGUUUGACAUAUAAAGUUAAUCGUUUAUAUGUGGUUCAUUCUUUAAAAUUCUGAUUAUUGCAUUAAGUUUCUUUUCACGCAUGAUAUUUUUCGGUUUUGUCAGGGAAAUGCAUUAUAAUUUGGGAUGACUUAUCAAUAUCUCGUAUCUCUAUUGAACCAUUUAAUACUAUUUCAUAUUGUAA
rnacentral:lncRNA from 1 species